GUGGCGCACGGGUGAGUAACGCGUAAAUAAUCUACCCUGGUGUCUGGGAUAACCCUUCGAAAGGAGGACUAAUACCGGGUAUAUGCUUUACUGCAGGGUAAAGCAGGAAAGAUGGCCUCUAUUUAUAAGCUAUCGCAUUGGGAUGAGUUUGCGUACCAUUAGCUAGUUGGUGAGGUAAUAGCUUACCAAGGCGACGAUGGUUAGCGGGUCUGAGAGGAUGAUCCGUCACACUGGCACUGGAACACGGGCCAGACUCCUACGGGAGGCAGCAGUGAGGAAUAUUGCGCAAUGGGGGAAACCCUGACGCAGCGACGCCGCGUGAGUGAGGAAGGCCUUCGGGUCGUAAAGCUCUGUCAGAUGGGAAGAAGUGUAUUGCGGUUAAUACCCGUAGUAUUUGACGGUACCAUCAGAGGAAGCACCGGCUAACUCCGUGCCAGCAGCCGCGGUAAUACGGAGGGUGCGAGCGUUGUUCGGAAUCACUGGGCGUAAAGGGCGCGCAGGCGGCGUGCUAAGUCAGAUGUGAAAGCCCACGGCUUAACCGUGGAAGUGCAUUUGAAACUGGCAUGCUUGAGUACCAGAGGGGAAGGUGGAAUUCCCGGUGUAGAGGUGAAAUUCGUAGAUAUCGGGAGGAAUACCGGUGGCGAAGGCGACUUUCUGGCUGGAUACUGA
rnacentral:rRNA from 1 species